rnacentral:rRNA from 1 species
GCCACUUUGUGGUUCAUGACUGGGGUGAAGUCGUAACAAGGUAGCGCUAGGGGAACCUGGCGCUGGAUCACCUCCUUACACGA